AAGGGAAAGCUGAAAGAACUGAGCAAAGACAAGCCCUUAUACCUUCUGCAUAAUGUAUUAAGUAGAAAUAACUUUACACAGAGAUAGCCAAGUCCCCCGAAACCAAACGAGCUAUGCAAGAAUGGCUGAAAGAGCGUACUCACCUACGUGGCAAAAUAGUGGGAAGAUUCAUGAGUAGUGGUGAUAAGCCUACCAAGCCUGGUGAUAGCUGGCUGUCCAAGAUAGAAUCUUAGUUCAACUUUAAACUUACCCACAGAAUUACUUAAUCUCCCUGUAAGUUUAACUGUUAAUCUAAAGAGGGACAGCUCUUUAGACCCUAGGAACCAACCUUCCUACAGAGAGUACAAAAUAAUAUUGCCACAGUUGGCCCAAAAGCAGCCAACAAUUAAGAAAGUGUUCAAGCUCAACAUCCAAGUAUCUUAAAUUCUAAUCACUCUACUGAACUCCUAACAUUACAUUGGUCUAAUCUAUUAUUUAAUAGAAGCAAUAAUGUUAAUAUAAAUAAUACGAAAAUAUUCUCCACUGCAUAAGCUUACAUCAGACUGGAAUAACCCACUGACAGUUAGCAGCCAGAUAUUUUACAAUAAGCACCCUAUUAUUUAUACUGUUAAUCCAACACAGGCAUGCGCCAAGGAAAUAUUACAAAAAGCAAAAGGAACUCGGCAAAUCUUACCCCACCUGUUUACCAAAAACAUCACCUCUAGCAUUACCAGUAUUAGAGGCACUACCUGCCCAGUGACAUAUGUUCAACGACCACCGUAUCCUGACCUUGCAAGGUAGCAUAAUCACUUGUUCCCUAAAUAGGGACUUAAAGAAUGGCCACAUGAGGGUUCAGCUGUCUCUUACUAUUUUAAUCAGUGGAAUCUGACCUAUUGGUGAAGAGGCAGUUAUAAGCAAAUAAGAUGAGAAGACCCCAUAGCACUUUAAUUCAUUAAUGCAAAUAAAAACUCAAAAAGCCUAUAGGCCUUAACCUACUAUCUCUGCAUUAAAAAUUUUGGUUGGGGUGACCUCAUAGCAUAUUCAACCUCUAAACAACCUAAACUAAGACCACAGUAGUCUAAGUGAGUUAAUACACAUUGACCCAAUAAUUUAAUCAACAGAACAAGUUAGCCUAGGGAUAACAGUGCAAUCCUAUUCUAUCAUAUCAAUAAUAGGGUUUACGACCUCUUUGUUGGAUCAGUACAUCCUAAUGGUGUAGCCGCUAUUAAGGGUUCGUUUAUUCAACGAUUAAAGUCCUACGUGAUGUGAUUUCAGACCGGAGUAAUCCAGGUUGGUUUCUAUCUGUUUAACAUUUCUCCUAG
rnacentral:rRNA from 1 species